CCUACGGGUGGCAGCAGUCGAGAAUCAUUCACAAUGGGGGAAACCCUGAUGGUGCGACGCCGCGUGGGGGAAUGAAGGUCUUCGGAUUGUAAACCACUGUCAUGUGGGAGCAAAUUAAAAAGAUAGUACCACAAGAGGAAGAGACGGCUAACUCUGUGCAAGAAGCCGCGGUAAUACAGAGGUCUCAAGCGUUGUUCGGAAUCACUGGGCGUAAAGCGUGCGUAGGCUGUUUCGUAAGUCGUGUGUGAAAGGUGCGGGCUCAACCCGCGGACGGCACAUGAUACUGCGAGACUAGAGUAAUGGAGGGGGAACCGGAAUUCUCGGGGUAGCAGUGAAAUGCGUAGAUAUCGAGAGGAACACUCGUGGCGAAGGCGGGUUCCUGGACAUUAACUGACGCUGAGGCACGAAGGCCAGGGGAGCGAAAGGGAUUAGAUACCCCAGUAGUC
rnacentral:rRNA from 1 species